CAGCAGCCGCGGUAAUACGUAGGGUGCAAGCGUUACUCGGAAUUACUGGGCGUAAAGCGUGCGUAGGUGGUGGUUUAAGUCCGUUGUGAAAGCCCUGGGCUCAACCUGGGAAUUGCAGUGGAUACUGGGUCACUAGAGUGUGGUAGAGGAUAGUGGAAUUUCCGGUGUAGCAGUGAAAUGCGUGGAGAUCGGAAGGAACAUCUGUGGCGAAGGCGACUAUCUGGGCCAACACUGACACUGAGGCACGAAAGCGUGGGGAGCAAACAGGAUUAGAGACCCCCGUAGUCCCUGUCUCUUAUAC
rnacentral:rRNA from 1 species